GGUCAAGCGAAUAAGCGCACACGGUGGAUGCCUUGGCGGUCAGAGGCGAUGAAGGACGUGGCAGCCUGCGAAAAGUAUCGGGGAGCUGGCAACAAGCUUUGAUCCGGUAAUGUCCGAAUGGGGAAACCCACCCGCUUGCGGGUAUCCUGCAGUGAAUACAUAGCUGCUGGAAGCGAACCUGGUGAACUGAAAUAUCUAAGUAACCAGAGGAAAAGAAAUCAACCGAGAUUCCGUAAGUAGCGACGAGCGAACGCGGACUAGCCCUUAAGCUGAUUUGGUUCUAGGAAAACGCUCUGGAAAGAGCGGCCAUAGAAGGUGAUAGCCCUGUAUCUGAAAGGGCCAUUUCAGUGAAGACGAGUAGGGCGGGGCACGUGAAACCCUGUCUGAACAUGGGGGGACCAUCCUCCAAGGCUAAAUACUACUGACCGACCGAUAGUGAACCAGUACCGUGAGGGAAAGGCGAAAAGAACCCCGGAGAGGGGAGUGAAAUAGAACCUGAAACCGUGUGCGUACAAGCAGUAGGAGCUCCGCAAGGAGUGACUGCGUACCUUUUGUAUAAUGGGUCAGCGACUUACUGUUCGUGGCAAGCUUAACCGUAUAGGGGAGGCGAAGGGAAACCGAGUCUGAUAAGGGCGCAUAGUCGCGGGCAGUAGACCCGAAACCGGGUGAUCUAGUCAUGCCCAGGGUGAAGGUGCGGUAACACGCACUGGAGGCCCGAACCCACUCCCGUUGCAAAGGUAGGGGAUGAGGUGUGAUUAGGAGUGAAAAGCUAAUCGAACCCGGAGAUAGCUGGUUCUCCUCGAAAGCUAUUUAGGUAGCGCCUCAUAUGUAUCCUCUCGGGGGUAGAGCACUGUUAUGGCUAGGGGGUCAUCGCGACUUACCAAACCAUUGCAAACUCCGAAUACCGAGACGGACUGUAUGGGAGACACACGGCGGGUGCUAACGUCCGUCGUGAAAAGGGAAACAACCCAGACCCACAGCUAAGGUCCCAAAUUUUGUGCUAAGUGGAAAACCAUGUGGAAAGGCACAGACAGCCAGGAGGUUGGCUUAGAAGCAGCCACCCUUUAAAGAAAGCGUAAUAGCUCACUGGUCGAGUCGGUCUGCGGGGAAGAUUUAACGGGGCUAAGCACAGAACCGAAGCUUGGGGUGCAUAACUUUGUUAUGCGCGGUAGAGGAGCGUUCCGUAAGCCGUUGAAGGUGGAUUGAGAAGUCUGCUGGAGGUAUCGGAAGUGCGAAUGCUGACAUGAGUAACGAUAAUGCGGGUGAAAAACCCGCACGCCGAAAGCCCAAGGUUUCCUUGCGCAACGUUAAUCGGCGCAGGGUGAGUCGGCCCCUAAGGCGAGGACGAAAGUCGUAGUCGAUGGGAAGCAGGUUAAUAUUCCUGCACCUCGCGUAAGUGCGAUGGAGGGACGGAGAAGGUUAGGUGUACCAGGCGUUGGUUGUCCUGGGGAAAGGCGGUAGGUUUGGAUCUUUGGCAAAUCCGGGAUCCUUUAAGACCGAGCACCGAGACGAGCCUUUAAGGCGAAGUCACUGAUACCACGCUUCCAGGAAAAGCUCCUAAGCUUCAGCUUACGCAGACCGUACCGUAAACCGACACAGGUGGGUAGGAUGAGAAUUCUCAGGCGCUUGAGAGAACUCGGGUGAAGGAACUAGGCAACAUGGCACCGUAACUUCGGGAGAAGGUGCACCCUUUUUGGUGGCUCAUGCGAGCUAUAGCUGAAGAGGGUCGCAGUAACCAGGCCGCUGCGACUGUUUAUCAAAAACACAGCACUCUGCAAACACGAAAGUGGACGUAUAGGGUGUGACGCCUGCCCGGUGCUGGAAGGUUAAUUGAUGGGGUCAGCCGCAAGGCGAAGCUCUUGAUCGAAGCCCCAGUAAACGGCGGCCGUAACUAUAACGGUCCUAAGGUAGCGAAAUUCCUUGUCGGGUAAGUUCCGACCUGCACGAAUGGCGUAACGACAGCGGCGCUGUCUCCACCCGAGACUCAGUGAAAUUGAAAUCGCUGUGAAGAUGCAGCGUUCCCGUGGCAAGACGGAAAGACCCCGUGAACCUUUACUAUAGCUUUACACUGAACGUUGAGUUCGUCUGUGUAGGAUAGGUGGGAGGCUAUGAAACCAUGGCGCUAGCUGUGGCGGAGCCAUCCUUGAAAUACCACCCUGUCGUGCUUGACGUUCUAACCUGGGCCCAUUAUCUGGGUCGGGGACCGUGUAUGGUGGGUAGUUUGACUGGGGCGGUCUCCUCCUAAAGAGUAACGGAGGAGCUCGAAGGUACGCUCAGCGCGGUCGGACAUCGCGCACUGUGUGCAAAGGCAUAAGCGUGCUUGACUGCAAGAUCGACGGAUCAAGCAGGUAGGAAACUAGGACUUAGUGAUCCGGUGGUUCUGUAUGGAAGGGCCAUCGCUCAACGGAUAAAAGGUACUCCGGGGAUAACAGGCUGAUACCGCCCAAGAGUUCAUAUCGACGGCGGUGUUUGGCACCUCGAUGUCGGCUCAUCACAUCCUGGGGCUGUAGUCGGUCCCAAGGGUAUGGCUGUUCGCCAUUUAAAGUGGUACGCGAGCUGGGUUCAGAACGUCGUGAGACAGUUCGGUCCCUAUCUGCCAUGGGCGUUGGAGAUUUGAGAGGGGCUGCUCCUAGUACGAGAGGACCGGAGUGGACGAACCUCUGGUGUUCCGGUUGUCACGCCAGUGGCAUUGCCGGGUAGCUAUGUUCGGAAGCGAUAACCGCUGAAAGCAUCUAAGCGGGAAGCGCGCCUCAAGAUGAGAUCUCCCGGGGCACAAGCCCCCUGAAGGAACCAUGUAGACUACGUGGUUGAUAGGUCAGGUGUGUAAGUACAGCAAUGUAUUGAGCUAACUGAUACUAAUGAUCCGUGCGGCUUGACCAU
rnacentral:rRNA from 1 species